ensembl:snRNA U6 U6 spliceosomal RNA
AUGCUUGCUUUGGCAGCACAUGUACUACAACUGAAAUGAUCUGAAGAAGAUUAGCAUGGCCCCUGCUCCAGGAUGACAUGCAAAUUCAUGAAGCAUUCCAUGUUUGA